AGAGGGUGCGAGCGUUGUCCGGAAUCACUGGGCGUAAAGGGCGCGUAGGCGGCCUGAUAAGUAGGGGGUGAAAUCCUGUGGCUUAACUGCAGGGCUGCCUCCUAGACUGUUAGGCUCGAGCACGGUAGAGGCAGAUGGAAUUCCCGGUGUAGCGCUGGAAUGCGUGGAGAUCGGGAAGAACAUCGGUGGCGAAGGCGGUCUGCUGGGCCGUUGCUGACGCUGAGGCGCGACAGCGUGGGGAGCAAACAGGAUUAGAUACCCUGGUAGUCCACGCCGUAAACGAUGGACAUCUAGGCGUCGGGGGGAGCGACCCUCUCGGUGCCGUCGCUAACGCAGUAAGUGUCCCGCCUGGGGAGUACGGCCGCAAGGCUG
rnacentral:rRNA from 1 species